GGGAACGUUACAUGGCAGUCGAGGGGCAUCGGGAGGGAAGCUUGCUUUCCUUGCCGGCGACCGGCGCACGGGUGAGUAACACGUAUGCAACCUGCCCUCUUCAGGGGGACAACCUUCCGAAAGGGAGGCUAAUCCCGCGUAUAUCGGUUUCGGGCAUCCGGGAUCGAGGAAAGAUUCAUCGGAAGAGGAUGGGCAUGCGGCGCAUUAGCUUGACGGCGGGGUAACGGCCCACCGUGGCGACGAUGCGUAGGGGUUCUGAGAGGAAGGUCCCCCACACUGGUACUGAGACACGGACCAGACUCCUACGGGAGGCAGCAGUGAGGAAUAUUGGUCAAUGGGAGAGAUCCUGAACCAGCCAAGCCGCGUGAGGGAAGACGGCCCUAUGGGUUGCAAACCUCUUUUGUCGGAGAACAAAACCCGGGACGUGUCCCGGACUGCGUGUAUCCGAAGAAAAAGCAUCGGCUAACUCCGUGCCAGCAGCCGCGGUAAUACGGAGGAUGCGAGCGUUAUCCGGAUUUAUUGGGUUUAAAGGGUGCGUAGGCGGUCCGUUAAGUCAGCGGUAAAAUUGCGGGGCUCAACCCCGUCGAGCCGUUGAAACUGGCAGACUUGAGUUGGCGAGAAGUACGCGGAAUGCGCGGUGUAGCGGUGAAAUGCAUAGAUAUCGCGCAGAACUCCGAUUGCGAAGGCAGCGUACCGGCGCCAGACUGACGCUGAGGCACGAAAGCGUGGGGAUCGAACAGGAUUAGAUAC
rnacentral:rRNA from 1 species